AUGCAUUGGAUAUUUUCGUAGAAAAUCCUUAAAUCUUUCCCAUGCCUCAUACAAGCUUUCAUCUUCUAACUUCUUGAAGGAAGUAAGAUCGUUUCGUAGCUU